AUUGAACGCUGGCGGCAUGCCUUACACAUGCAAGUCGAACGGCAGCACGGGUGCUUGCACCUGGUGGCGAGUGGCGAACGGGUGAGUAAUACAUCGGAACAUGUCCUGUAGUGGGGGAUAGCCCGGCGAAAGCCGGAUUAAUACCGCAUACGAUCUACGGAUGAAAGCGGGGGACCUUCGGGCCUCGCGCUAUAGGGUUGGCCGAUGGCUGAUUAGCUAGUUGGUGGGGUAAAGGCCUACCAAGGCGACGAUCAGUAGCUGGUCUGAGAGGACGACCAGCCACACUGGGACUGAGACACGGCCCAGACUCCUACGGGAGGCAGCAGUGGGGAAUUUUGGACAAUGGGCGAAAGCCUGAUCCAGCAAUGCCGCGUGUGUGAAGAAGGCCUUCGGGUUGUAAAGCACUUUUGUCCGGAAAGAAAUCCUUGGCCCUAAUACGGGCGGGGGAUGACGGUACCGGAAGAAUAAGCACCGGCUAACUACGUG
rnacentral:rRNA from 1 species